AUGAUGCAUGCUUCCUGGGCUUUGAAGCGUUUCUUUUUCUCUCUGCCAUCUGCCAUAUUUGGAGCAUUUGUAGCUGGCUACAGCAGAGAAACCAUGCACAGCAGAUUUCCUGUUUAUGAAUUCCACUUUUCUUAUGUUCAGAUAAAUUUUUGUGGAUUAAAAAUGAUUCUGCUUCUGAGUUUUUGGAUUGUUACAGGUCUCACAGCAGCGGACCCAACAGCGACAUAUUAUCGGCUGAAAAACAGCUCAGUGUGUCUGAAUGUCAGGAAACCGCCACCAUAUAGACGUGGUGAAUGGAAAUUUAACACGAUAAUUAUUGCUGAUGAUACAGUAAUCAAUCCAAUAUACAAAGACAGAGUGACUUAUAGUGCUGGGAACCUCUCCUUGUGUAUUAAUAACCUGGCUGAUACAGACGCUGGGAUAUAUGACGUCUCAAUCAGCCAAAACUUUACUUCAGCAUCAGAGAAACAUCAAGUCAUUGUUCAAGAUGUGGUUCCCACACCUGUCAUUAUAAUGUCAAAGCUUGGCUCCAACCAGUCUGCUGGACUCUGCAGUAUCACAGUAAACUGCUCCAUCCAGGAUUAUUGGCUUUGGUCUGUUUGUGAUGAAGACGGCUGCAGACCAUCCCAGAAAUCAUUCAGUGAGGUCAACAUCACCACCUUCACUGAGAACAGUACCGUGGUCUGCAGAGGCAACAACCAUGUUAGCACAAAUCAAGCUUCUGAAAGCUCAACACUGUGUUUCAAUAACACUAAUCCUGAUGAUAGGGGGAAAGCACAACACCCUCCAUCAACGAGAACACUUGCAUUUAUUAUUGUUUGUGUUUUACUCGCCUUCAUCUUUUUAGCAGUUUCUUUCUUUUUAGUUAAAAGAUUAUUUUCAACAAAAUGGAAAUCCUACCAGGCUCCAACAAAUACUAUCCGCUCAAUACAAAGCCAGCCCAUUAAUACUCUGCCAUCAUCUCAGUCGAGAGCCUCUACUGCGUCUUCGUCAAGUGAUGCUGACCCUGCUUAUGAGAACGCAGACGUCCUUCAGUACAGCCAGAGCAGCAGCCCAAGACAGGAAAGCCAUCCAGUAGAUACCAUCUACACUCUUCCAGGAGUGAAAAGCUCUUCUGCUGGCAACAACAUACAAAAUACUGCAGAGACUGCCACAGUAGAAGAGGCACAACAACGGCCCACGCAGAUCGACACAGUUUACAGCGUGUUGCAGAAGCCAAAAAAAUUGAAUGUAUAGCACCACCCAGAGGUCAAACGGGAGUUUUGAACAGUGGGAAACAAAAGAAAACGAGAACAAAAACAGUACAAGAAAAUGAACAUUGUAAAUACCAGACAAAUAUUCCAAACAUGAUUAAAGCUCAAUGUUCAGCAUAGACAAUAAAAUAAAUGUUGGAUCAAUUCAUAGAACUAAUAUAAAAUUAAUCACAGGACUUAUGAUUACUUUUAUAUAAAAAUGAAAUUUCCUCUGCUGAAUAAAUUGGGUGCAUGCUAACAUGCUGAGAUGAAAGACCAAAUGCUGAUCUUCGUUUGGCAGCUUAUUCACUUAUAUUUAUUUGUUAUAAUAGUACUUUAUUUAUAUUAGCAAUGAAAUUUUCUAUCCACCAAAUCAUUUUAUUUGUUUUUUCUUUAAAUGUACAGAAAAUGUAUGAAUUGUGCCCCAUUAAAUGACAUGCUGAUUGGGCAACUAUUGAUGGAUAUUUGCUUAUGUUUGAUUAAACAUGAUUAAGCUGAUAAAUUUAGCAUUUACUCUAGUGCAGGGGUCGGCAACCUUUAACACCCAACGAGCCAUUUGGACACUGGACAAUACUUUUUGACAUCUAAAAUGAAAAUAACACUGUAUAUAUUGUUUUUUUUACCUUUAUGCUUUGUAUAAACAACUAUAGUGUGUUGCUUAUGAAAUCCAUGAAGUUCUACAGAGAAAAUAAAUUUUUUAUUUAUGUAAUGAACACAUUGUGAACAUUGUGAACUCUUAACCCUCUGCAGGGGAGGCGGACACACCUGAGCAACAUCCGCAAUCACGCCUUGCCUUAAAGUCCUUGUCUCUCUGCUGUUCUUUUGGUAGCUGGAAAGCUACAGCUGGCUGUAUGCGUACAGCAACCGUGUGUGAAAAGUUGUCAAUAAAGAGAUGCUGAAAAGCAUGUUCAUGCAAACAUUGUCAGGUUUGCCGCGGUAUGUUUACAAUAGGACUUCUGGUCCUGAACCUCUGCGCAGAGCGUCUGCAAAUCGGGGCUGUACGAAGUCACUGUCAUCUUUACGACUGUAAGUUGUCGUCUGUGAGGCUUGUUUGUUUCAUGUUUGUUUUCUUACAUUACUCCAAACUUGGCCUACCUGGGGCUGAAAGUCUUGAUAAAUGCACAGCGUUUUGGCGGGUAUAUACCGGCUUCGGCGAGUGUGACGCUUAUUUUGAGUGAUGAAAAAUAAUAAAAUUGUCACGGUUGUGGGUCAUUUUGACCCAGCUUUUUCUGUUUCUUAUGUUAUCUUAUUUCUUCUUAUUUUAUUUAUGUUAUCUUUUUCUUAUGUUCUUUUUAUGUUGUCUUAUGUUGUUUCUUAUAUUGGUGUUUUUCUAGAUUAUGACUUAUGUUCUGAUUAGUUAGUGAUACUGUCUAGUCCGUGUCUUAGUUUCCUGUUUUUACUUUGAAGGAUCAUGGUCAUGUGUGAUGUCGGUGUGUUCAGUUUUACACUUCCUUGUCUCGUUAGCCUAAUUUCUCCCAGCUGUCUCCCUCCUGUUUCUCAUUCCCUGAUUACUCCCCUGUGUAUAUAAGGCCUGUGUUUUCCUGUGCUCUCUGUCGUGUUGUACCCUCAUACCUCCCUGUGUGUUCGGUUUGCCUGUCGGCCAGGUUAGUUGCUUUCCAGUUUAGUUAGUUCUUUGUUCUAUCUGUAACCUCACAAUAAAGCCAAGGGUUUUUGAGUUCACCUGUGCCUCUGCGAGUCCUGCUCUUGGGUCCACCUUUUCCUGCCAGCCUUCACACAGCCAUGACAAAAAUAUAAUGUUAUUUUAAUAUAAUACACUUCAACUAAAUACUUUAUAAUUUAUUUUCCCAAGCCAUGGGGAGCCACAGUAUGGAUAAAAGAGCCACAUGCGGCUCCGGAGCCACAGAUUGCUGACCCCUACUCUAGUGGAUUUUAGCAAGGAGAACUAUCACACUUUACAGUACAACAUAGAUUCCCUGCAGGGUUCAGGACAGGUGAGUUGGCUGGCCAAACACAGUAAUAAUAUGAUCAGCAAACCAUUUGUUAGUAGGUCUGGCACUGUGUGCAGGUGCUAAGUACAACUGGAAAAGGAAAUUAGCAUAGCCAUAAAACCAGUAGAUGGUAGACAAGUCAGGUGCAUUGACUCUGGACUUAAUAAAAGACAGUGGGACAAUGACAAGCAGAUGGUAUGGCACCCCAAAUCAACACAUGCAUAAGUGUCACACUGGAUUUCAAUCAUCACAGAUUUUGUGGGUCUCCAGUCAUCCUGCUAAAGUCGCCCUCCAUACUCUAGGGUCUUAAUAUCUUAACUUAUGCAACCAAGGCUCAAGGCUGGUUGGAGAAGCAGCAGGGCAUCACUCAUCCCUGUUACUUGUGCACAUUUUCUUUUUACAAUUUUAUCUUCCAGUCAACAUUUUAUGAAUUGGUACAGUGCUCUGAACACUCAGCCUUUUCAGGAAUAACCUUAUAUGGCAAGCCCUGGUAAGUUUUAUGUCAGGAAGGGCGUUCAAUGGAAAAUCUUUGCCAAAUCAAACCUGCAGAUCAUCAAGAAUGAGAUUUCCUGGACUUGCUGUUAAUAACGACCACCUUCGGUGCAGUUGGCCAACAGGGUUUUGGUGAUAACUGUCCUACUGUUAGGGAAAGAGAAAGGAAAAAAGGAGAAUGUGUUUGGAGGCAGUGAGGCUUUCUUAUAUUUGAUCACAAGGUGUUAAUCCUGUGCCAACAACACCCAGCACAUUAGUCGCUGGUUCUGAAUGUACAGCCGGUCAAAAAAACAAGACAAACUGGAUGGAACUGAAUAGUUCAGUAUUACAGUGACUUUUGCCUCCACUGGACAAACCUGUCCAAAACCAACCUGCUUACCCAGAUAUGUAACUAUUGCUUUACCAAUCUCACAUUUGGCAUAAUUAAGGGUUAACAAGGCCUGAGUUAGCAACUGAAACACUGAUUCUAGGAUGACUAUGCGAUCCGCCCACGCAUCUGUCUAUAUCACCACAUCAUCAGAUACACAUACCAGAUGCAUCAAAUGCUGAAAUGUGGCAGGACAGUUUUUCAUUCCAAAUGCUAUCACAGUGUACUGCAUAAAAUUAUCAGGAGUGACAAAUGCAGAAAUGUUACAGGCUCCGGGGGUCAAGGUAACCUGCCAGUAAUCUCUAGCGGAUCCAACUUAGUGAUAAAUUUGGCAGGACCCAUGCUGUCAAUGCAGUCCUCUAUACGAGGGAGUGGGAAUGAGUCAGAGACAGUUACAGAAAUGACUUUACUAGCUAAUGAUAAGACUUUUUUUUUAUGAAGACUAACAAGUGCCUCACCAGUACCAGGAGGUACUUUAGAUUCAGCAUCUGGCUCAACAAUGCUUGGGAGCUGAUCUAAAACACCUGUCUUGAUGCGUGCUUAAUCAUCCAGGUAAGUAAAUCCCAAAAGAUUGAUUCUGUUCUUCUGGACCUCACAGCCCACUGAAUGAACAAUGGGCUGUGAGGUCAGUUCCUUGAUCAUUAAUAUGCAAAUUGUCAAGACCAUUGAUCAACAACCACUGAUCAAAGGGAAUGUCUGCAAUCACAGCAUUGUAAGAUGGCGAAGAUGGCAAUCCCCAACUUUUUGUGAAUGGCCAUUGAGCAGUUGUUGAUCAGUGGUCACUGAUCUUACAGCCCAUUGUUCACUUAGUGGGCUGGUUUUAGUUAUUGUGCAAAUGUACUGUUUAUAAGGUUGGGGAAACCUGCAGUCAGCUGAGACUGCAAAAGUCACCUGGAUGAGUGAGGCACUGAGGCUAACUGUUUUUGUUUAUAUGCCUCACAAUCUGCUAUUAAACAAACAACAUAUUUUCUGUCUGUCCUAGCAUUGGACACCGGAAACCCUCCCUUUUGGGUAUGUGCAGCUAGCACUGCACUAGCUUUCCCUGCAGAGUCACAUUGGUCAUGCUUAAUAAAAUAGGCCUUUUGGCUCAAAGGUGAACUCAACAGGCAAUGUGGCACCCUGCUGUAGUAAGCAAACCUUUCUUCUCAUUAAGGUACACCACAAUGUGCUCUGGUAAGCAAUUUGUAAAAUCUUUGACAGGCACCAACUCACGCACUGAAGUAAGAUCAGUAGCUUUACACACCAUACACCGUCGAUCAAAAAUGGUACUCUUCUCCCUUGCAAAAUCAAAAUAUGGUUGGGCCUACUCCAACUGUUUUCAACUGAAUCUCCUGUUCCUUUUCAUGCGCCUCCCUGGAGGUAUGCCAGAUGAGGUUUCGGGCUAGGGUCCUGCUUAGAACCAAAUGAGGACUCCAACGACAGCGGAUCAAAGCAAGGCAGCGUGAUUGGCCUGUGCGACAGGUGUUGACACUAACAGUGUUCCAGUCUGAUCUGGCAAUAGCAGAGGUGAGCUAGAAGACUCUGGCAGGGUAUUGAUCCCCCUCUACACUAGACCAGAUACUAGAGUGGACCUUGGAUUUUUCUCCAAGCGUCCAGCUGGACGAGCCAUAGCACCUAUAAUAAAUGUAGCCAUUUCAAGCAGACAAAAAAAAAAAAAAAUCCCUAGCAAAAUAACACGCAACCAAGCGCUGGUUCCCUACAGGUGCUUGUUCAAUAGCCAGAUAUCUAGCUAAACUACUAAAGUAAGGAUAUACCUAACAUGCAAAAAAGACAGAAACAAAUUGACAACUGAUAACACAAUAACACUUAGGCUACGUCCUCACUAGCCUGGAUAGAUUUGAAAAUGGCGUCUUCGUCUGAAAACACUGCGUCCACACUAGCGUUUUCAGUCGUUUUCACAGAGUUGUGCGUCCACAUUGAAACGGCCAAAAACGCUUAUGUUCCAGUACUGCGCAUGCGUGAAAUGCAAGACUAUUCGACCUGCCUCAUUUCUGUCUGCCAUCUAUUUACUUUCCGGCUCUUUGAAACGUCGCGGCAAAAUGUCGAGGAAAAGCACUGAGUUUUUUAAAUGGACUAACAAUG
rnacentral:lncRNA from 1 species